UUCCCCUCCUCCCACUCUCCUCCCAUAGUCAACACACAAUUCCACUGGGUUUUACAUGUGUCUUCAAUCAAGACCUAUUUCCAUAUUGUUGAUAUUUGCAUUAGGGUUAUCUUUCAGAGUCUACAUCCCUAAUCAUUUCCCCAUCAACUAAUGUGUGCAUCCACUUUCUAGCUGUGUUAUAAAUUGGAAAUUCCAGGUUUUGGGAGAACCAUGACUCUUCUAAGUGACUCCAGUGGAAACAUAUAUUCCAUCAUUAUCUCAAAAUGCUCCCCAUCUCAAUCUUUGCCCAUAAUAGUCCUGAUCUUCUUGUAGAAACUCCUGGUUAUCAAAGAAAGAGUCCCCAAAAUUGUCAAUAUCACCUUGUAAUUGGGCAAAUUAAUUAAUCUUUGUUAUCAAAAAUUAGUUCUUGUAAUUCAAAGGUGUUAUAGAAAUAGAAGAAAAUUAUAAAAUUAAGCAGUUGUUUUUCUCCUGUGUUUCUGCUCCCACAGUUCUUUCUCUGGAUGUGAAUAGCUGAACAACAUUUCUGAGUGCCAUCUCAGAGUUGGAGUCAGGAAGAGCCUUGAAUCGAGUACCACACAUGACAGGAAAGGUGUUAUAUACUACUCUCUGUUUCGUGCCAUGCAAGGAUUAGGAGAAUCAAUUUAUGUCCUUGGCUCACUCCAUUACUUGUUCCAAAGCUCUAAGCCAUUGAUGACUGACUGGAUAAGGUUAAUUUCCCUUUAGCCUUUUUGGAGAAAUGUCCAGUAUAGAAAGCAUGAUUGAAAAUACACUAAGCUACUUUGAAAUUUAGCAUUAUUUCUUGUAAUAUUGAUUGCUUUAUGGUUCCCUGGCAAGAUUAAUAAUCUCUAUCACCAAUGAAAUAUUUGGAAGGAGUCAACUUCACCAAUACUAAGAAAGUCAUUAUUUUUCUUCUUACUGGAAUUUCAGAUUCCCUCUAUAUUAUAAGGUUGACGUUGCCUACAGAUAUGAAUACCCUCAACAUUGUUUCUCAUCACUGGAGUAACAGGCAUCUAAGAACAGUCAGAAAGAUAGAAAAAGAAAAAAAAAACGUCAGAUUUUGGCAGUCUUUCUUUUUCCACUUCAUUGGGCAGAGAGUGAUAAAAGUGAAAAUGUAGCAGUUAUACUGCAGUGAGCCCUACUGGCAAAAGGGAAAAGAGUUCACUUUAAAAGGACCAAUUUAGAGGUGGAAGUACUUUCAAAACACAGCUGCUCCUACAAAGCUGCCUUUCAGAUUUGUCCAUAGAAGAAUCAUCUCUUAAUUUCUGCCAUCACAAUAAUUUCAGAACUUUUUCUGGACAACAGCCCUGACCAUAAUGUUGACUGAAAAAAAAAAGAGGAAAAAGGUCCCGUAAUGUUAAUUCAGAAAAUCCACUUGUCCCAUUUAGUUUUGGAGGCAUCUGAUUCAUAGAAUGGAAGGAUCAUCUAAGUCAAUCUCUUCAUUUUACAGAAGAAAAACUGAGGCCUACAGAAGUCAAGUGAUCAUACGCCUAGUAUCUCUACAACUGGACUCUUAACUAGACUACAAACCUUCUCAGAACAUGGAGAAUGACAUCAUUGGCUUUUACCCCUUUGCAUUAGAAUGAAUUCUUCAUGAGAGCUGAAUAAGACAUAGGAUCAUGGAUAACCUGUAGGUCCUUACAAAUCAUUUCAUCCAACCUCUUCAUUUUACACAGUGUAUGAGGACAUUGAGUUAUUUAAAAAGGGGUUAUGUGACAACAUAAAUAAGUGGAGGAGCUUGGGUUAGGAAAGACUAAUUCUGAAUUCACUACUCUUUCCAUUAUAUAUAGCACAUUGCCUCUAUAAUAUUAUUCAUUUUUGUAUCUCCCCAAAACUUAACUGAAUGCAUUGCAAAUAGUAAGUAGAUGCCCAAUAGAGAUUUGCUGAAUGAAAGAAAGAAUGAAUGAAACAGACUCAUGUUUAGUUAUAGAAUCAAAUUUUUUUAAAAACUUGCCAUAGGGAAUACCAUUGAAGAGAUUCAUGGAAACAAGUUUUCAGGAACUAAUGAAAAUAGACCAGGAUAGCUGCCAGAAGAAUGAGAAUAAGCAUCAUACAUUUGGAGGCUAAUUUUCUUUUUAUUACACAUCACAAGAUAAUAGAAAUGUUCUUAUUGUAGUUUUAAAAAGAGCACUGGGACAUAGAUAUUCCUCAGUAGCAUGAGAAACUGAAUGCCACUGUUGGCUUUUUUUGCAUGAGAGCCAAAAUUUAACCUGAUUGCAAAUAAAUGUUAUACACUUAAACUUUUAUGAUUGUUAUUGCGAUAGAAAGUAAUAUGACUUCAGGCAUAUAUCUUUAACAAAAGAUUUUUUCUGCAGUUAUUCUUAAAUCAGAUGUAAUUGAUUCAUAUAAUUUAGAUGUCACAGUGAUGUAAUACAUCACAACACAGCUUUAAAAAUUUAGUGGAUCUCUGAUUUUAGCACUAUAAGGAACCUAGUAAGAUGAUUUCUUGAUCAAUAUAGAUUGUCACUUUCUUAAAAAAAAAAAAAAGCAAAACUACCUUCAAUCUUAGAAUCAAUACUGUGUAUUGGUUCCAAGGCAGAAGAGUGGUGAGGGUUAGGCAAUGGGGUUUAAGUGGCUUGACUGGGGUCACACAGCUAGGAAGUGUCUGAGGCCAGAUUUGAAUCCAGGACCUCUUGUCUCUCUACCUAGCUCUCAAUCCACUUAGCCACCCAACUGCUCUCUGGAUUAUUGUUUUCUUGGUCAAAUUAUAACCUUAAAGAAUUAAGUGACUUCCCAAGAGUUAACAGACCCAAAAUUAUUAUUCAGAAGAAGGAUAUGAAUCUAGGUUAUUUAAACUCUGAGGCCAAAUCUUUCUCUCCAUUACUCCACAAUACUGUUCACACUAUCAUAGCCAAUGGUAAAGGUAAAUCAUUUUUAUAACAUCAUUGUAGAUAAAUGAGUAUGAAUUAUUCUUGUUAUGUAUCAUAGAUUUUGAUUGAAUAAGAAUGUAUAUAGGAUAAUAAUAUGGCUCCUUAUAUGAUAGUCAUAAUCAAUUAAAAUACUUAUUUUUUUUGUUUUAGCAAUUCCCCAAUUAAAGCAUGUCCCUUUUCUUUCUAGUUAUUUAUUAUUACUACUACUGCUAUAAAUAUAUUGGAUAUGGGAUUUUUCAUUAUGUCUUUUACCUCUUUGCUGGCAUAAGUCUAGCAAUGGAAUCUAUUGUUCAAAGAGAUUCCUCUUGGACAUUGGCUGAGAUAGUUUUACCAGUAUGUGUCCACUGUGCAAGCUAUUGCUUCUAGGAGUCACAGGUGAGAGUUGAGUAAGAGAUGGACAAGAGAGGUUGAUGUGCAUCCCUGAAAAAGGCUUGACAAACUCUCACACCAGAACUGCUAGUCAUUCUUCCCAGAACACUCCUACAUCCCUAUGAUAUGUUGACAUUCUUGUAAUUCCACACCUCCUUAAAAACUUCCUUUUGUUUGGUUAUCUCAGAAAACUUCAAAUUAUUUUGAU